AUGAUUAGUUAUGUUUGUCUAAAGCUAGUGUGUUUGCAUCAUGACAAUUCUACAGAAUUUUUGUUGUGUUGCCGUGCGAUGGCGCCGGCGGUGAAGGUGUACGGGUGGGCAAUGUCGCCGUUCGUGGCGCGCGCGCUGCUGUGCCUGGAGGAGGCCGGCGUCGACUACGAGCUCGUCCCCAUGAGCCGCGAGGCCGGCGACCACCGCCAGCCGGACUUCCUCGCCCGGAACCCCUUCGGCCAGGUCCCCGUUCUCGAGGACGGCGACCUCACCAUCUUCGAAUCGCGCGCUGUCGCGAGGCACGUGCUGCGCAACCACAAGCCGGAGCUGCUGGGCUCCGGCUCGCCGGAGUCGGCGGCGAUGGUGGACGUGUGGCUGGAGGUGGAGGCCCACCAGCACCAGACCCCGGCGGGCACCAUCGUGAUGCAGUGCAUCCUCACCCCGUUCCUCGGCUGCAAGCGCGACCAGGCCGCCAUCGACGAGAACGCGGCAAAGUUGACGAAGCUGUUCGACGUGUACGAGGCGCGGUUGUCGGCGUCGAGGUACCUCGCCGGGGACUCCCUCAGCCUCGCGGACCUCAGCCACUUCCCGCUCAUGCGCUACUUCAUGGACACCGAGUACGCGUCGCUGGUGGAGGAGCGCCCGCACGUGAAGGCGUGGUGGGAGGAGCUCAAGGUCAGGCCGGCGGCGAAGAGGGUGACGGAGUUCAUGCCGCCAAACUUCGGGUUCGGAAAGACGGCAGAGAAGUGA
rnacentral:rRNA from 1 species